CCAAUCUAGAGUNUCGGAGAGGAAAGUGGAAUUCCUAGUGUAGCGGUGAAAUGCGUAGAUAUUAGGAAGAACNCCAGUGGCGAAGGCGACUUUCUGGACGAAAACUGACGCUGAGGCGCGAAAGCCAGGGGAGCGAACGGGAUUAGAUACCCCGGUAGUCCUGNCCGUAAACGAUGGGUACUAGGUGUAGGAGGUAUCGACCCCUUCUGUGCCGGAGUUAACGCAAUAAGUACCCCGCCUGGGGAGUACGACCGCAAGGUUGAAACUCAAAGGAAUUGACGGGGGCCCGCACAAGCGGUGGAGUAUGUGGUUUAAUUCGACGCAACGCGAAGAACCUUACCAGGUCUUGACAUUGAUGGACAGAACUAGAGAUAGUUCCUCUUCUUCGGAAGCCAGAAAACAGGUGGUGCACGGUUGUCGUCAGCUCGUGUCGUGAGAUGUUGGGUUAAGUCCCGCAACGAGCGCAACCCCUAUCUUAUGUUGCCAGCACGUAAUGGUGGGAACUCAUGAGAGACUGCCGCAGACAAUGCGGAGGAAGGCGGGGAUGACGUCAAAUCAUCAUGCCCCUUAUGACCUGGGCUACACACGUACUACAAUGGGAGUUAAUAGACGGAAGCGAGAUCGCGAGAUGGAGCAAACCCGAGAAACACUCUCUCAGUUCGGAUCGUAGGCUGCAACUCGCCUACGUGAAGUCGGAAUCGCUAGUAAUCGCAGGUCAGCAUACUGCGGUGAAUACGUUCCCGGGCCUUGUACACACCGCCCGUCACACCACGAAAGUCGGAAGUGCCCAAAGCCGGUGGGGUAACCUUCGGGANCCAGCC
rnacentral:rRNA from 1 species